rnacentral:rRNA from 1 species
GUUGAACGCUGGCGGCGUGCCUAAUACAUGCCAGUCGAGCGAACAGACGAGGAGCUUGCUCCUCUGACGUUAGCGGCGGACGGGUGAGUAACACGUGGAUAACCUACCUAUAAGACUGGGAUAACUUCGGGAAACCGGAGCUAAUACCGGAUAAUAUAUUGAACCGCAUGGUUCAAUAGUGAAAGACGGUUUUGCUGUCACUUAUAGAUGGAUCCGCGCCGCAUUAGCUAGUUGGUAAGGUAACGGCUUACCAAGGCAACGAUGCGUAGCCGACCUGAGAGGGUGAUCGGCCACACUGGAACUGAGACACGGUCCAGACUCCUACGGGAGGCAGCAGUAGGGAAUCUUCCGCAAUGGGCGAAAGCCUGACGGAGCAACGCCGCGUGAGUGAUGAAGGUCUUCGGAUCGUAAAACUCUGUUAUUAGGGAAGAACAAAUGUGUAAGUAACUAUGCACGUCUUGACGGUACCUAAUCAGAAAGCCACGGCUAACUACGUG